rnacentral:rRNA from 1 species
GACGAACGCUGGCGGCGUGCUUAACACAUGCAAGUCGAGCGGUAAGGCCCUUUCGGGGGUACACGAGCGGCGAACGGGUGAGUAACACGUGGGUGACCUGCCCUUAGCUCUGGGAUAAGCCUGGGAAACUGGGUCUAAUACCGGAUAUGACUCCAUGACGCAUGUUGUGGGGUGGAAAGCCCUGUGCGGCUAGGGAUGGGCCUGCGGCCUAUCAGCUUGUUGGUGGGGUGAUGGCCUACCAAGGCGACGACGGUAGCCGGCCUGAGAGGCGACCGGCCACACUGGGACUGAGACACGGCCCAGACUCCUACGGGAGGCAGCAGUGGGGAAUCUUGCGCAAUGGGCGAAAGCCUGACGCAGCGACGCCGCGUGGGGAUGACGGCC